rnacentral:rRNA from 2 species
UAUAAACGAUAAACCUCGUAGUAUCUUUCUUGCUUUUGUUAGGGCUAGUAUACCAUCAUUGUUAGAUAAUUUUGCUAAAAAAAUUAUUAUAAUUAAAUGAAUAUUAAAUAUAUUAGAUCAUGGUGCUGCUGAUGAGCAAGUUUAAAUGGGUUACAAUAAAUUAAAUUUAUUACGAAAUUAUAAAUGAAAUAUUAUAUCGAAGGUGGAUUUAAUAGUAAUACAAAUUUAAUAUGUUUGUGUGAGAUUAG